UACGAAGGGGGCUAGCGUUGUUCGGAUUUACUGGGCGUAAAGCGCACGUAGGCGGAUCGAUCAGUCAGGGGUGAAAUCCCAGAGCUCAACUCUGGAACUGCCUUUGAUACUGUCGAUCUGGAGUAUGGAAGAGGUGAGUGGAACUGCGAGUGUAGAGGUGAAAUUCGUAGAUAUUCGCAAGAACACCAGUGGCGAAGGCGGCUCACUGGCCCGGUACUGACGCUGAGACGCGAAAGCGUGGGGAGCGAACAGG
rnacentral:rRNA from 1 species